UGGCAAUCCCUCACGCACUGCCAUAAUGCCCAGGGAAGACAGGGCGACCUGGAAGUCCAACUACUUCCUUAAGAUCAUACAACUUUUGGACGAUUAUCCAAAAUGCUUCAUUGUGGGAGCAGACAACUUCGGCUCCAAGCAGAUGCAGCAGAUCCAUAUGCCCCUUCGAGGGAAGGCUGUGGUGCUGAGGGGCAAGAACACCAUGAUGCUCAAGGCCAUCCAAGGGCAUCUGGAAAGCAACCCACCUCUGGAGAACUGUUGACUCAUAUCCGGGGAAAUGUAGGCUUUGUGUUCACCAAGGAGGACCUCACUGAGAUCAGGGACAUGCUGCAGGCCAAUAAGAUGCUGGCUGCUGCCGGUGCUGGUGCCAUUGCCCCAUGUGAAGUCACCCUGCCAGCCCAGAACACUGGUCUGGGUUCAGAAAAGACCUCCUUCUUCCAGGCUUUAGGUAUUACUACUAAAAUCUCCAGGGGCACCAUUGAAAUCUUGAGUGAUGUGCAGCUGAUUAAAACUGGAGACAAAGUGGGAACCAGUGAAGGUACACUGCUGAACAUGCUGAAUAUCUCCCCCUUCUCCUUUGGGCUGGUCAUUCAGCAGGUGUUUGACAGUGGCAGCAUCUACAACCCUGAAGUGCUUGACAUUACAGAGGAAACUCUACCUUUUUGCUUCCUGGAGGGUGUCCGCAAUGUUGCCAGUGUUUGUCUGCAGAUUGGUUACCCGACUGUUGCAUCAGUACCUCGUUCUAUCAUCAAUGGUUAUAAGAGAGUCCUGGCUUUGUCAGUGGAGACUGAUUAUACCUUCCCACUUGCUGAAAAGGUCAAGGCCUUCUUGGCUGAUCCAUCUGCCUUUGUGGCUGCUGCCCCUGUGGCUGCCACCACCACUGCUGCUCCUGCUGCCACUGCAGCCCCAGCCAAGGUUGACACCAAAGAAGAGUCAGAGGAGUCAGACGAGGAUAUGGGAUUUGGUCUCUUUGACUAAUCACCAAAAAGAGGAAACUCAGCCAGCUUUAUUUUCAGAACAGGCAAAUAAAGGCUUCUGUUAAAAAUUAAAAAAAAA